GAUACCCUAUUAUUUUUGAGUGUUAAUUCGUUUUCUUAGGUAGUAUUAGUUAUGUUCUUGAAACCUAAAGAAUUUGGCGGUACCUUAUUCCGAUCAGAGGAAUCUGCCCUGUUAUCGAUAAUCCGCGUUGUACCUUACUUAGUUGUUAUUGUUUGUAUACCGCCGUAUAUUGAUUAUCAUUUUAGUGUUUAAAUUUUCUUGAUUCAUAAUUUUGUUUCAUUUCAGGUCAAGGUGCAGCUUGUGUCUAAGUGUGAGGUGGAUUACAUUGGUUUUUGUUUAUUGGAUUAUUUGUUGUUAGAUUUUUAUGAAAUUGGAUUUGAUUGUAAUUUGGUGAAGAUUGUUCUUAUGAUACUUGGUUCUAAGGUAUGUACACAUCGCCCGUCGCUCUCGUUUGUUAUUAAUGAGAUAAGUC
rnacentral:rRNA from 1 species